rnacentral:rRNA from 1 species
GACAGAGGGUGCAAACGUUGUUCGGAAUUACUGGGCGUAAAGCGAGUGUAGGCGGUUUGGUAAGUCGGAUGUGAAAGCCCCGGGCUCAACCCGGGAAGUGCACUCGAUACUGCCAAGCUAGAGUGUCGGAGAGGUUGGUGGAAUUCUCGGUGUAGAGGUGAAAUGCGCAGAUAUCAGGAGGAACACCAAUGGCGAAGGCAGCUCGCUGGGACGGUACUGACGCUGAGACGCGAAAGCGUGGGGAGCAAACAGG